UUCACGAGCUUCCUUUCAUAGGGACACACUCAGAAACUUCAAACUUGAAAACACGCUCACCGCGCCUACGCGGAAGAACGCCGCGAUCCUUCGUGUUCAUCCUCACGUUCUUCUAAAUCAUUGAUCAUGGAUUCAUGUUCGAGUUCAAGGUUCCUCGCAUCAUCGUCACAUUUCGCCGCAUCACCAACUUCAGAUGUAAACGUGUUUCUUCCACAAAUCAACAAUGUUCAACAUCACGUUCAUCAAUUCCCAAGUGUUCAUGGCUUCGCAUUCAGAAACUCCAACUCGUCGCUCAGGAUUCGCGUAUUGGAUGUAGUAUCGCGUCUGUAUCGCAUUGCAUUUUGGUGCCGCAUUUUCAGAGCUCAAUGUCACGUUUUAGAAUCUACCUCAAUUCGGUUCGAUCAUUCAUACUUUACAAGCUCAAUCAGUUAUCAAAAUUGUGCAAUUGAAACUGAAUGUAAACUGAAGCGAAAUUGAAGACUCUCCAUUUUUCGACGCCGCGAUGACAACAUGUGACGAUGAUUAUUCCUAUCGGGUUUUCUCCCAACUUUCCAGUCCAACAAUCUCUAGCCGGAAUACAAUCCAAUCCAUUCCCUAUUUAUUUUUAAAGAUGUUGCGACACAGGGUUGCACCAGGCUGCUUAACACCCAUUUCUUGUGAAGGCCUUAGCACACCUUUCAAAACAGGAAAGUGGUGUAACUGUGUAUUAUAAAAACUAGGCACGAGUCUGAUGGAUAUAUCCAAAAUUAAUUGAUUCAUAUGCAUGCUUCUUGUGGGAAUAUUAUAUGGGCUCAUAACGUUUUGAUAGUAUUUAGGGAAAAUAUUUGCUUCAUGGAAAUCCAUGUUAGAUGGUUAUGCCAAGUGUGGGGAAAUGGUUUUGGCUCAGAAAGUUUUUGAGUCAAUGCAGGAGAGGUAUGCUCGGUCAUGGAGGUCUUUGAUUGAUGGUUAUGUGAAGGAUUUUUAUGCUUGCAACUUUGUUAGUUGUCAAUGUGUUUAGUGCAUUACCUUGCAGUCUAUUGGUGGGACCGAAACUAUGUUUUCUUAUUAGACUGUUAUGCUGGAUUUUUAGUACUUGUAUGCUCCUAAUUGUUUGAUGGGUGCAGGGUUAAGCAUGGUUCAUGAAGAAACAUUAAAGAAGUAACACCAUGGCUACCAUGAGCAAACUCAUGGACUUGGAAGUACCAAGGAAGAAUGGUCUAUAACAUGAAGAAGAGAUAGAGAUUAGGGUUAAGUUGAUGGAUGAGGUGAGUUGCCUUACCAAAAAGUCAACAAUUGACCAAAGUUAAUUGUAGGGUCAAAGAUAUUUUUAAUGCAACAUUGGCAAUGUAUGGAUGAAAUGAACAAUUGAAUGAAAAUUAGCCUAUUUAUUUUAA